GGCGCGUAGUAGAGGGAAGCGACUGAGGAGCGGGGACUGGGCAGCAUUUGAAUGGAUGCGGGUGCCGCUGGCACCCGGGAAGACGCCUGGGAGCCGGCGCUGGGGAGCCGGGCAUGGGCUGGGAUGUGUUUGGAUUCCAAUCUGGGCCUGACACCAGUUCAGUGACCUCGGGAAGUUCCCCAACCCUGCGGGCCUGUUUCCUCCCUCUGAAGUGGCGACAGUAAUAGAACCGACCUCGUAGGCUCAUCGGGAGGUCCUGAUGGGAGAACCCAUGCAACUUGCCACCACAGAGCCAGGCCCGCGGCGACUGGCUCCUGGUGGGUAUUAAAGACGAGUCGGGAAAGAAGAGCAGGCUCAAUCAAACCUUCAAUGGCCCCGAAAGACAUCUUGAUUGAAACCUCAUGAGAGACUCUGAGCCAGAAAACCCAGCAACUUAGAACCCAGAUACCUGACCAUCAGCCACUGUGUGAAAUAAUAAAUGUUUGUUGUU
ensembl:lncRNA SLC16A1-AS1 SLC16A1 antisense RNA 1